GAUGAACGCUGGCGGCGUGCCUAAUACAUGCAAGUCGAGCGAACGGACGAGAAGCUUGCUUCUCUGAUGUUAGCGGCGGACGGGUGAGUAACACGUGGAUAACCUACCUAUAAGACUGGGAUAACUUCGGGAAACCGGAGCUAAUACCGGAUGAUAUUUUGAACCGCAUGGUUCAAAAGUGAAAGACGGUCUUGCUGUCACUUAUAGAUGGAUCCGCGCUGCAUUAGCUAGUUGGUAAGGUAACGGCUUACCAAGGCAACGAUGCAUAGCCGACCUGAGAGGGGGAUCGGCCACACUGGAACUGAGACACGGUCCAGACUCCUACGGGAGGCAGCAGUAGGGAAUCUUCCGCAAUGGGCGAAAGCCUGACGGAGCAACGCCACGUGAGUGAUGAAGGUCUUCGGAUCGUAAAACUCUGUUAUUAGGGAAGAACAUAUGUGUAAGUAACUGUGCACAUCUUGACGGUACCUAAUCAGAAAGCCACGGCUAACUACGUG
rnacentral:rRNA from 1 species